rnacentral:lncRNA from 1 species
UAAUAAUAAUAAUAAUAAUAAUAAUAAUAAAUUAAUGCCACAAUAAAUUACUUGUGUGAAUAGAAGAUUCGCCCUAGGAGUAGCAUCUCAAUAUUACUCACCAGAAUCGAGCAGUAGUCUGAGGCUAUCCAAGAUGUCACACCUGAAAGUCGGAGAACCGCUGGACCCAGCUGGGAACGCUCUGUCUAUCCUCUCCCAGACACAAGCCCUUCAAAAUCUGUUGUUGCACCAAGUGAAACGCGAGCCAAUGAACCUAGGGUCGACUAGCCCAUUAGUCAUGAGGAACUCCUGAACUUCCUAACUUCAAUCUUAUUAGUGUAGGGCUUCCCCACUCUCUUCUCAUCCGGACCAUCAAUGCGGUUGAAGUCUCCCGCCACCAUCACUCAGAACCCCUGUUGGAUAAGACUCAAUGCCUCAUCCCACAAAACUCUUCUCUCCCUGUAGUCUAUACUGGUAUAGUUGCCAAUAGAACCCAAAGGGGUUCGUUCUCCUCUAAAACUAUCAUGAUCACCUGCUAGUUGCACUUGUGGAAAAUGU